GACGAACGCUGGCGGCGUGCCUAAUACAUGCAAGUUGAGCGAUGAAGAUUGGUGCUUGCACCAAUUUGAAGAGCAGCGAACGGGUGAGUAACGCGUGGGGAAUCUGCCUUUGAGCGGGGGACAACAUUUGGAAACGAAUGCUAAUACCGCAUAACAACUUUAAACAUAAGUUUUAAGUUUGAAAGAUGCAAUUGCAUCACUCAAAGAUGAUCCCGCGUUGUAUUAGCUAGUUGGUGAGGUAAAGGCUCACCAAGGCGAUGAUACAUAGCCGACCUGAGAGGGUGAUCGGCCACAUUGGGACUGAGACACGGCCCAAACUCCUACGGGAGGCAGCAGUAGGGAAUCUUCGGCAAUAGACGAAAGUCUGACCGAGCAACGCCGCGUGAGUGAAGAAGGUUUUCGGAUCGUAAAACUCUGUUGGUAGGGAAGAACGUUGGUGAGAGUGGAAAGCUCAUCAAGUGACGGUAACUACGCAGAAAGGGACGGCUAACUACGUG
rnacentral:rRNA from 1 species